rnacentral:lncRNA from 1 species
CCCCUGGGGGUCAGGAAGGAACAGGAAGAUUUUUGGGGCAGUAAAACACCGGAUUUGUCUCCUCACACCUGGAGGUGUUGCAGCUUUUUGACCCCUUUGCUGCCCUCAAGAUAAGAAUCGGAGAUGCUCAACAAGUGCCUGCUGAGAUAUUGUCCCAGAAGUAUUCAGUGCACCUCAGCAAGCUGCAAAUGCAGGCUCGUGGGGGAAGAGCGAUACAAAGCAAACAGGGAAGUGCAGACAGAAAAUGCAUUAGAAAUGUUUGGAAAAGGCACUCCAAGGUCUCCCCAGGCUGGUCAGAGAGGAAAGUUUUCCAGGAUUGCAGCAGGCUGCUGUUAUUCCCUGGGCUGCUUUUUUGGAGUUUGUACCCAGCCCUACAUCGAUUGUGGAGAGGUGGCCCAGAGCCCUCUGUGUGCUCAUGGAAAACCUUCCAGCAAAACUUUUGUGACACAUUUCCUAUAGGAAACGGAACAGUGAUUGUUUCUGGGAAAAAUAAAAAAGCUGAACUAAAGACUCUUCUGCCCCAGCAGCAAAUAAAGAGAGCAUCAAAAUAUUUUAGUAUCAAGGCUUGCUUUCCAUCAGAUUUCCUCCUGCCCUUGCAAAAUGAUGCAGCAACAAAAAAAAAGUACCUAAAGGAAAGGGGGAUUUUCAGGAGCCUGUUGUGUUACCUGAGCGUGGAUUCAAUGAUCCAGCUGCUUGGGAAAUGCAGUUUUGCUGGAAUUGUUACCAAGGGAAGCCUUGCUGGGAUGUUUCAGUGCCUGCUCUGGUUUCAUCCUUCCCUAGGAGUGACUUUUAGGAAGAGUUCAGUGACUACUGAGGCAGAAAAUCAACUGAUCCUUUUGUCAGGAGCUUUUUCUCUCAGGGGCAGGAUGAGGCUUCUCCAGGGCAGUCCAGGGGAUGAGGCCAGAGCCUGUCUUGCCACAAAAAGUCAAAAUUCCUUUUCUGGGCAAUGCCUGCCUUGGUGAAGUGCUGUGUCGAACACUGUAGGCCGGCCUGCAGGGAGAGCAUUGUAGGGCGGCCUGAAGAGGGGCUUAGAUCAACCUGAACUGUUCCUAGACUGGGCUGAAAUGGGGUUUAGACUGGCCUGGAGAGGGGUUUAGGCUGGUUUACAGUGGGGGUUUUGGAUAAACCUGAGCUGUUGUUGGACCAGCCUGAAGCGGGGCUUUAGCCUUUCCUGAAGUGUGUUGUUGUUAGACCAUGCCUGAAGCUUUAGACCAGCCUAACACCAUCCCAGCUCUUCCCUCUUCAUCCCUUGGCUGAAAAAUCCCCCAAACCAGUGGCAGGUUGGGAAAGAGGGAAUUCUUUUUGGGGUCAGAGUGGCUUUUAGGAGCACCUGAUUGUGUUGACCAUAAAUCUUUUUCGCUGCUGCAUCUCUUUGUUUUUCUGGGCUUUAUUUGGAGGGUGAGUUACCCCCCAACUCCAUAAUCUGGGGAAAUUUUCUCCUUCACUUCUUUUCUUCCUCCCCAGAACAACAAUUUGAAGGCAAUAAAGCAAAACACAAACUCUG